CUCAUUAUGUGUAAAAUCAUAUGGAAAAUCAGAAUUACCUCCCUUUGACAGUGUAUUUUUUUUUAGCUGUGUUUCACCAUGUUAAGUUGUAGAACAAGUUGUAAAUAAGCACUUUUCAAGUAUUUUAACACUUGAAUAAUCUGACCGCAUGAAGAUAUUCAUUUAUUUUUACAUAACGCAUUGCGUUUCUUUAUUUAAAAAAAAUUGUAGAUAACUUUUUAUGAUUACAUGCCCUUCAUCUAUGAAACUAGUGUUGAAAUGUUUGUAAUUGGAUUACUAUGUUAAAUAAUUGCUUUUGAAUAUUCUAAAUUUUUACUUUAAUCUUCCAAAUGCAAAGUUUGGUCAUACCCAGUCUUAUUUUUUCAUAUUUGGCACUUUUUUCUACUUCAGUUUUGUCUGUCUAGUUUUGGCGAAGAAACCAUCCUGAUGUUGGGGUAACAGGAAUUUCUGCAGAGUGAUUGUCAAUGACAUUUUGUGAACUUUACAAUUUUGUCUGUCUAGUUUUGGCGAAGAAACCAUCCUGAUGUUGGGGUAACAGGAAUUUCUGCAGAGUGAUUGUCAAUGACAUUUUGUGAACUUUACAAUUUUGUCUGUCUAGUUUUGGCGAAGAAACCAUCCUGAUGUUGGGGUAACAGGAAUUUCUGCAGAGUGAUUGUCAAUGACAUUUUGUGAACUUUACAAUUUUGUCUGUCUAGUUUUGGCGAAGAAACCAUCCUGAUGUUGGGGGUAACAGGAAUUUCUGCAGAGUGAUUGUCAAUGACAUUUUGUGAACUUUACAAUUUUGUCUGUCUAGUUUUGGCGAAGAAACCAUCCUGAUGUUGGGGGUAACAGGAAUUUCUGCAGAGUGAUUGUCAAUGACAUUUUGUGAACUUUACAAUUUUGUCUGUCUAGUUUUGGCGAAGAAACCAUCCUGAUGUUGGGGUAACAGGAAUUUCUGCAGAGUGAUUGUCAAUGACAUUUUGUGAACUUUACAAUUUUGUCUGUCUAGUUUUGGCGAAGAAACCAUCCUGAUGUUGGGGUAACAGGAAUUUCUGCAGAGUGAUUGUCAAUGACAUUUUGUGAACUUUACAAUUUUGUCUGUCUAGUUUUGGCGAAGAAACCAUCCUGAUGUUGGGGUAACAGGAAUUUCUGCAGAGUGAUUGUCAAUGACAUUUUGUGAACUUUACAAGUAAUUAAAACACAAAUUUAGUAAAAUGAAACAUAA